rnacentral:tRNA from 1 species
GAGCCCGUAGCUCAGCCUGGUUAGAGUGCUGGUCUUAUAUGACCUUCAUCCGUUUUUGGAUGAAAUCUCUAAGUAAGCCAGUGGUCCCGAGUUCAAAUCUCGGCGGGCUCA